CUCCUUUAGGUUAUCCAUUUUGCUUCCAUAAAGUUUUUUCAUAAUAUUCUCAAAUGAUAUUCUGUAUUUCUAUGUUAUUUGUUUUUAAUUUCUCCAUUUACUUU